CUGUACUCUACAGUGCAUGUGUCUCCAGUGAAUAUGAGCUACUGGAGAGGCAGCUCUGUGUGAGUAAC
rfam:Salmo salar isolate Sally breed double haploid chromosome ssa13, whole genome shotgun sequence.